CUUUCCUGCCGCCUGCCUUCCAGGGCGCUUUGAUGGCAGCCGUCCCGGUACUGAUGGAGUCAGUGUCCGGAGACCAGAGGCUCACGUAGGGCUAUUCGACAAAACAUUUCGGUCGCUUUGUCAAGAAAAUUCUCCAGUUUAUAGAUUCUGUAGCUGCACUUUUACAGGGAGCCAGCUCCAUGGCCAAGCGGUUAAGUUUGCACACUCCACUUCAGCAGCCCAGGGUUCACCGGUUUGGAUCCUAGGCGCGGACCUACACACUACUCGUUACCCCAUGCUUGUGGUGGCAUCCCACAUAGAGGAGCUAGAAUGACUUACACUAGGAUAUACAAGUUUCACUGAAUGGCAAGAGGCAAUUACCCAACCUGGA
rnacentral:lncRNA from 1 species